AGAACAACUUACCUCUUGUCAGUCACCUGCUUUUCUUUACUUGUCAUACUUUUAGCAUUUACAAAGUUUUAAAAAUGUGUUUAUCAUUUGGUAAUUAUUUUUAAACUUUAUUUGAAAAUAUAGACUGAGUUCUGAACAAAUUAUCCUUAAAUUUCUUCCUCUAGUAGUUACACUUUUCAGUAUCAGUGAAGUUUUAUGACGCCUCUAUUUUUCCUACCCACACAGCAUCUCAAGUUUGUCUUUACAGAAUAACUGGAAGUCCUAGCUUUAUCCUCUCUCUGCGUUUCUCUCUCACAGCCCCCUCCUCUUGGACUCUGCUCUUCCUCUCAGCACCGUAACCUUUUUAAUUUCCAGAUAGGUUUUGAAAACACCAUCUGUUCCCCUCUUAGGAUCCCUGGGGCAGAUGAUAGGUGAACCCCACAUCCCAGACACAUGGCCACCAAAGAUAUUCUUGCUUUUUUAAUGUUUAUCAAGUUCCUCCGCAGACAACAGAAACCAGAAAGUGAUCCGCUGCCAGCGACAGGGAGACACACAACUGGUCCUUAUUCUAAAGACCCGACCCAGCCUGGAAUGGGGCCCGGCGAGGAGUUCUUGCGCCGGCCGCGGGGACUGGGCGGUAAUGAGCCGCUAGUCUCGGAAGGUGGUGCUGUUGGGUGUGAGGGGAGAUCCGGCUUGCGCUGAAACAGCGAGCGGCGUGCAAGGAGGAAGCCGCGAUUUCCAAGGCGGAUUCCCUUCGCUGGGACACAACUCUUGAGAAUAAGACUUAUAAGGACUCUGAGAGUUUGAGGCAGAGGCAGAACGGCUCUGGGCUGAGUGAUGGGGAGGAUACCAGCACUCAGCGCGGGUGGCGGGCGCGGGGCCGAGCGCGCGCAUCCAGGGACGCCUUGGGGACGGGACGCGGAGAAAAGUUGCCGGGCGGAGAGAAAGGGUGGCGCUGGAAACCAAAUGGCUUUCAUCCCCUGGAGACAAAGAGGUGCCUUCUUUUGACAACAGCUGCCAGUGACACACACACCAUACGGCGGGGCCGGCGGGGGAGGGGAGCCCGGGAGGAGAGCGUCUAAGGCGGGGACCGGCACUGACUUUCAAUAAUGGGGUGGUUGCCAUGGUGACGGGCCAGGCAUCUAAAGGGGCGGCUGAAAGCACCCAUUGUUCUGGGGCCCGGCUGCUCGGGUUGUGCCUGUUCCUAAGAGACACCUUUAGACACCUCCCUCCGUGCAGGGGCGAGCUGCGGCCCGGGGCUGGGAGCGUCUCCGCGGGAGUUUCACACCAGGGCCCCAGGCCGCAGAUCGCAGCGCCGCCUUGGCUGCACGCGCGCUGCAUACGGAGGGCAGCGCCGCCUCCCACGCACUAUCCGCCCGAAAUCCGAGCGCGACGCGCGCCCGCCUGGGCCCAGACGCGCAGGCCGGGACACGCAGCUCCGCCUGCUCCCCGCUGUCCCGGGGAGACUUCGAAUAACAAUGCGGAGCAGGACCCGGUGACUCCACAAAUAACUCGCUGAGGUCUGGGGCGAGGGCACUCGGGAAAACCCCGCAGUCACUUUGCAGUCGUGCUGGAAGGAAAAGCAGAACGGAAUCACAGGAUAAAGAAGAUUAAAAGUAACAGGGCAGCGUUGCAAUGUUGCUUGUAAGAGCAAGCAGCUGGAAACAACCUAAAAGCCCGUCCCUGGGGGCUGGGUGAAUGAUAUGGGGCGCAUCCCUCUGAGGGAACACUAAGCUGCCAUUAAAGAGUACAGGGCAGCUGUAUUUGCUGAGACGUGGAAAUUUUCCGGUGUAUUCUAAGUAAUAAAGUGCAGAAGAGUGUGAGUAGGGCUGUGUGUAUGUGGUAUGUGUGUUUGCAUCUCUGGAAGUGGUUGCUUCUUAGGAUGGUCACUGUGGGACUAGGAGUGGAGGAGAGAAAGAAAACUUGCUUUUCACCGUACUAGAAUCUUCUGCACCUUUUGAAUUUUGCCGUUUAUACUAUGUCUUUACCUGUAAAGAAAAAAGAACUUUGAAAUAAAGUUGCAUUUGCUUGAA